AACGCUAGCUACAGGCUUAACACAUGCAAGUCGAGGGGCAGCGCAGUGUAGCAAUACAUGGGCGGCGACCGGCGCACGGGUGCGUAACGCGUAUCCAACCUUCCCGUUACUCAGGGAUAGCCUUCCGAAAGGGAGAUUAAUACCUGAUGGUAUUCAAAUUUCGCAUGUUAUUUGAAUUAAAGAUUUAUCGGUAACGGAUGGGGAUGCGUGACAUUAGGUAGAUGGCGGGGUAACGGCCCACCAUGCCUACGAUGUCUAGGGGUUCUGAGAGGAAGGUCCCCCACACUGGAACUGAGACACGGUCCAGACUCCUACGGGAGGCAGCAGUGAGGAAUAUUGGUCAAUGGUCGGAAGACUGAACCAGCCAAGUAGCGUGAAGGAUGAAGGUUCUAUGGAUUGUAAACUUCUUUUAUACGGGAAUAAAACCACCUACGUGUAGGUGCUUGUAUGUACCGUAUGAAUAAGCAUCGGCUAACUCCGUGCCAGCAGCCGCGGUAAUACGGAGGAUGCGAGCGUUAUCCGGAUUUAUUGGGUUUAAAGGGAGCGUAGACGGGAUGUUAAGUCAGUUGUGAAAGGCUGCGGCUCAACCGCAGCACUGCAGUUGAUACUGGCGUCCUUGAGUGCGGUUGAGGUAUGUGGAAUUCGUGGUGUAGCGGUGAAAUGCUUAGAUAUCACGAAGAACUCCGAUUG
rnacentral:rRNA from 1 species